UACGGAGGGUGCAAGCAUUAAUCGGAUUUACUGGGUGUAAAGAGUGCGUAGGCGGAUAGAUAAGUCAGAUGUGAAAUUCCGUUGCUUAACAUCGGAGCUGCAUUUGAUACUGCCUAUCUUGAGGGUAGACGGAGAAAACGGAAUUCCACGUGUAGCGGUGAAAUGCGUAGAUAUGUGGAAGAACACCUGUGGCGUAAGCGGUUUUCUAAUUUAUUCCUGACGCUGAGGUACGAGAGCAAGGGGAGCAAACAGG
rnacentral:rRNA from 1 species